rnacentral:rRNA from 1 species
UACGAAGGGUGCAAGCGUUACUCGGAAUUACUGGGCGUAAAGCGCGCGUAGGUGGUUCGUUAAGUUGGAUGUGAAAUCCCCGGGCUCAACCUGGGAACUGCAUUCAAAACUGUCGAGCUAGAGUAUGGUAGAGGGUGGUGGAAUUUCCUGUGUAGCGGUGAAAUGCGUAGAGAUCGGAAAGAACACCAACGGCGAAAGCACUCUGCUGGGCCGACACUGACACUGAGAGACGAAAGCUAGGGGGAGCGAAAUGGG